rnacentral:rRNA from 1 species
UACGUAGGGUGCAAGCGUUGUCCGGAAUUAUUGGGCGUAAAGAGCUCGUAGGCGGUCUGUCGCGUCUGCUGUGAAAACUCAGGGCUUAACCCUGAGCUUGCAGUGGGUACGGGCAGACUAGAGUGCGGUAGGGGAGACUGGAAUUCCUGGUGUAGCGGGGAAAUGCGCAGAUAUCAGGAGGAACACCGGUGGCGAAGGCGGGUCUCUGGGCCGUAACUGACGCUGAGGAGCGAAAGCAUGGGGAGCGAACAGG